rnacentral:rRNA from 1 species
UGGGGAAUUUUGCACAAUGGGGGAAACCCUGAUGCAGCGACGCCGCGUGAUUUAGAAGGCCUUCGGGUUGUAAAAAUCUUUUGUAUGGGAAGAAAAUGACAGUACUAUACGAAUAAGGAUCGGCUAAUUACGUGCCAGCAGCCGCGGUAAUACGUAAGGUCCGAGCGUUGUCCGGAAUCAUUGGGCGUAAAGGGUACGUAGGCGGAUAAGCAAGUUAGAAGUGAAAUCCUAUAGCUAAACUAUAGUAAGCUUUUAAAACUGCUCAUCUUGAGGUAUGGAAGGGAAAGUGGAAUUCCUAGUGUAGCGGUGAAAUGCGCAGAUAUUAGGAGGAAUACCGGUGGCGAAGGCGACUUUCUGGCCAUGAACUGACGCUGAGGUACGAAAGCGUGGGUAGCAAACAGG